GACGUAGGUGGCGAACGUUAUCCGGAAUCAUUGGGCGUAAAGGGUGCGUAGAUGGCAUGAUAAGUUAUUAGUGGGAAAUCGAGGCUCAACCUCGUGGAAGCUAGUAAUACUGUUUUGCUUGAGUGCAGAAGAGGUUAACGGAACUCCAUGUGGAGCGGUAAAAUGCGUAGAUAUAUGGAAGAACACCAAUAACGGCGAAGGCAGUUAACUAUUCUGUUACUGACAUUGAGGCACGAAAGCGUGGGGAGCAA
rnacentral:rRNA from 1 species